rnacentral:rRNA from 1 species
CCUACGGGCGGCAGCAGUGAGGAAUAUUGGUCAAUGGGCGGAAGCCUGAACCAGCCAAGUAGCGUGCAGGAUGACGGCCCUACGGGUUGUAAACUGCUUUUAUACGGGAAUAACGCGCCUUACGUGUAGGGCUUUGCAUGUACCGGAUGAAUAAGGACCGGCUAAUUCCGUGCCAGCAGCCGCGGUAAUACGGAAGGUCCGGGCGUUAUCCGGAUUUAUUGGGUUUAAAGGGAGCGUAGGCCGCAUGUCAAGCGUGCUGUGAAAUGUCCGGGCCUAACCCGGGCCUUGCAGGGGGAACUGGCUGGCUUGAGUCCGCGGAAAGCAGGCGGAAUGCGUCGUGUAGCGGUGAAAUGCUUAGAUAUGACGAAGAACCCCGAUUGCGAAGGCAGCUUGCUGCAGCGGAACUGACGCUGAUGCUCGAAAGCGCGGGUAUCGAACAGGAUUAGAUACCCGGGUAGUC